rnacentral:rRNA from 1 species
AUUGAACGCUGGCGGCAGGCCUAACACAUGCAAGUCGAGCGGAUGAAGAGAGCUUGCUCUCUGAUUUAGCGGCGGACGGGUGAGUAAUGCCUAGGAAUCUGCCUGGUAGUGGGGGAUAACGUCCGGAAACGGGCGCUAAUACCGCAUACGUCCUACGGGAGAAAGCAGGGGCCCUUCGGGCCUUGCGCUAUCAGAUGAGCCUAGGUCGGAUUAGCUAGUUGGUGAGGUAAUGGCUCACCAAGGCGACGAUCCGUAACUGGUCUGAGAGGAUGAUCAGUCACACUGGAACUGAGACACGGUCCAGACUCCUACGGGAGGCAGCAGUGGGGAAUAUUGGACAAUGGGCGAAAGCCUGAUCCAGCCAUGCCGCGUGUGUGAAGAAGGUCUUCGGAUUGUAAAGCACUUUAAGUUGGGAGGAAGGGCAGUAAGUUAAUACCUUGCUGUUUUGACGUUACCGACAGAAUAAGCACCGGCUAACUUCGUGCCAGCCGCCCCGUAAGAC